rnacentral:rRNA from 1 species
AUUGAACGCUGGCGGCAUGCUUUACACAUGCAAGUCGAACGGUAACAGGCCUUCGGGUGCUGACGAGUGGCGAACGGGUGAGUAAUGCAUCGGAACGUACCCAGAGGUGGGGGAUAACGCAGCGAAAGCUGUGCUAAUACCGCAUGUGAUCUGAGGAUGAAAGCGGGGGACCGAGCAGCAAUGUUUGGCCUCGCGCCUUUGGAGCGGCCGACGUCGGAUUAGCUAGUUGGUGGGGGAAAUGCCUACCAAGGCGACGAUCCGUAGCUGGUCUGAGAGGACGACCAGCCACACUGGGACUGGGACACGGCCCAGACUCCUACGGGAGGCAGCAGUGGGGAAUUUUGGACAAUGGGCGCAAGCCUGAUCCAGCAAUGCCGCGUGCGGGAAGAAGGCCUUCGGGUUGUAAACCGCUUUUGGCAGGAACGAAACGGUGUCCGCUAAUACCGGGCGCUAAUGACGGUACCUGCAGAAUAAGCACCGGCUAACUACGUG